rnacentral:rRNA from 1 species
GCUCACUGGUCGAGUCGGCCUGCGCGGAAGAUGUAACGGGGCUAAACCAUGCACCGAAGCUGCGGCAGCGACGCUUAUGCGUUGUUGGGUAGGGGAGCGUUCUGUAAGCCGUUGAAGGUGUGCUGUGAGGCAUGCUGGAGGUAUCAGAAGUGCGAAUGCUGACAUAAGUAACGAUAAAGCGGGUGAAAAGCCCGCUCGCCGGAAGACCAAGGGUUCCUGUCCAACGUUAAUCGGGGCAGGGUGAGUCGACCCCUAAGGCGAGGCCGAAAGGCGUAGUCGAUGGGAAACAGGUUAAUAUUCCUGUACUUGGUGUUACUGCGAAGGGGGGACGGAGAAGGCUAUGUUAGCCGGGCGACGGUUGUCCCGGUUUAAGCAUGUAGGCGGAACGAUUAGGUAAAUCCGGUCGUUUUUUAACGCUGAGGUGUGAUGACGAGGCACUACGGUGCUGAAGUAACAAAUGCCCUGCUUCCAGGAAAAGCCUCUAAGCAUCAGGUAACAUCAAAUCGUACCC